UGCAGUCGAGCGGAGUGAUGGUGCUUGCACUAUCACUUAGCGGCGGACGGGUGAGUAAUGCUUAGGAAUCUGCCUAUUAGUGGGGGACAACAUUUCGAAAGGAAUGCUAAUACCGCAUACGUCCUACGGGAGAAAGCAGGGGAUCUUCGGACCUUGCGCUAAUAGAUGAGCCUAAGUCGGAUUAGCUAGUUGGUGGGGUAAAGGCCUACCAAGGCGACGAUCUGUAGCGGGUCUGAGAGGAUGAUCCGCCACACUGGGACUGAGACACGGCCCAGACUCCUACGGGAGGCAGCAGUGGGGAAUAUUGGACAAUGGGCGCAAGCCUGAUCCAGCCAUGCCGCGUGUGUGAAGAAGGCCUUAUGGUUGUAAAGCACUUUAAGCGAGGAGGAGGCUACUGAAGUUAAUACCUUCAGAUAGUGGACGUUACUCGCAGAAUAAGCACCGGCUAACUCUGUGCCAGCAGCCGCGGUAAUACAGAGGGUGCAAGCGUUAAUCGGAUUUACUGGGCGUAAAGCGCGCGUAGGCGGCUAAUUAAGUCAAAUGUGAAAUCCCCGAGCUUAACUUGGGAAUUGCAUUCGAUACUGGUUAGCUAGAGUGUGGGAGAGGAUGGUAGAAUUCCAGGUGUAGCGGUGAAAUGCGUAG
rnacentral:rRNA from 1 species